CACCGCGGUUAUACGAGAGACCCCAGUUGAUUGCUACGGCGUAAAGUGUGGUUAGGGUAUAAAUAAACUAAAGCUAAAGACCACCUAAGCUGUCAAACGCAAUCCGGGGGCACGAAACUCAAACACGAAGGUAGCUUUAUGACCACCUGAAGCCACGAAAGCUAGGAAA
rnacentral:rRNA from 1 species